UACAGAGGGUGCGAGCGUUAAUCGGAAUUACUGGGCGUAAAGCGUGCGUAGACGGUAGCGUAAGUCAGAUGUGAAAGCCCCGGGCUCAACCUGGGAAUUGCAUUUGAGACUGCUCUGCUCGGGUGCGGAAGAGGGAAGCGGAAUUUCCGGUGUAGCGGUGAAAUGCGCAGAUAUCGGGAAGAACACCUAUGGCGAAGGCAGCUCUCUGGGACGGUACUGACGCUGAGACGCGAAAGCGUGGGGAGCGAACAGG
rnacentral:rRNA from 1 species